rnacentral:tRNA from 1 species
CAACCCAUGGCGUAGUGGUCACUGCACUCGCCUUGCACGCGGGAGACCCGGGUUCGAUUCCCGGCGGGGUCA